rnacentral:rRNA from 1 species
UUAAAUUGAAGAGUUUGAUCAUGGCUCAGAUUGAACGCUGGCGGCAGGCCUAACACAUGCAAGUCGAGCGGAAACGACACUAACAAUCCUUCGGGUGCGUUAAUGGGCGUCGAGCGGCGGACGGGUGAGUAAUGCCUA